rnacentral:misc_RNA from 1 species
GGAACGCUCACUCGCUCAGCAGCCGGUAUAAAAGACCCAGCAAGGCAAUUAAGCAAAAGCCAGAGAAGAAGAAGAUAAAAAAAAAAAUAGAAAGCAUGAAAUUUUCUGAAAAGAAAAAUCAAAAUGGACGCAUGAUACCUCCCAAAGAGAACGAAUGGCCGCAUAGGAGAAUGAAGAACCUCGAUCUCAUAAUCCAAUCAAAGGAUUGCGGCCUUGAGGAGUUCGAGGAUGCACCAGUGGAGGGUUUCGGCGCGGCGUUGCUUGCAGGAUAUGGAUGGUAUAAAGGCAGAGGAAUUGGCAGAAACGCCAAGGAAGAAGGCAAAAUCGAAUUCCGCGAGAAGAUUGGAAGGAAUUCAAGGGAAGGACUGGGCUAUGUGUCUCUUAAUUCUCAAAGUAAGGUGGACAUUAGAGACGAAGAAAUAUGAUGAAUAUGUGGACAUCUGAAAAUAUCGAUGAAAGCUGGCAUAGGAGAUGGUUUGCUAUUUUCAGUUUUAUCAACAUUACAUUGAUGCACGAUUUUACUCCCAUCAAUUAAUCUCCUCUUUUUCAGAUGCUUGUCUUCUUGCCCUAAUUUUCUUUUCAUUUUAAGAAGAAAUUUAAUUAUCUGCUAUAAACUCACAUUAGCACCAACGAUCAUGCAAUCGUCCAGAUUUUUUUUUUCUUUUUAAUACUUGCGCCCCAAAAAACAAAGGGUCGAAGUUUUUCUUUUUGGUAGCAAGGAGGGAAAGCAAAAGCUCACAGAAACAAACUAAAGCAAACUGCCAACCAAAUAAGAUUAAAUACUAUUUAAUUAUUAUCACUUAAUUCAAAUUUAGGAAUCAAUUAACAUAACCUUUAUAAAAAUUUCAAACUUCAUAUUCUCAUAAAGUGCUUUUUGAAUAGAUCCGCCUGAAACCUCACAAAUUCGCAUGACAGAAGGAAGCAACCAACCAUCAUCAAGAAGUUUGAUCCGCCAAAACUGGCAUAGGCAGGGCGAAGCAGCCAAUAACUCCCGGUCACGUAAACGCUAAUUCAAGACGUAUUAUAACAUAUUUCUGAUUCACUAAAAAUUAAUACACCUCAUUUUUAUAAUAUUUUUUUAUUACUCCUAAAAAUAAAGAGUAAAUCGGCAAUAAUAAUAAUAAUCACAAUAAUAAUUUAAUAUAACUUGCCUCAAAACAAGCAAGCAUGAAGGCAUCCAUAAAAGUUCAACCCAAAACCUAUUUAAAACUACCGUGGAACACUCCUUAAAUAUAUUAUAAAUUAAUUUAAAAUUAAAUUUAAUAUAUUUUAAUUACAAAAAAUCUAACAAAUUUUUUCAAGCUACUUUUUUCGGUACUUUAUUAAAAAGAAAAACAAUUUUUUAAACCUCCAACCCGAACCCAAGCCCAAGUCAUCAGAACAUACAAGAAGCAGGCUGAAAACCAUGUCAUAAUAGUACUACAAGCUUCCUACAUGUGGAAUUGUCAAAACCAGACGAUACCUCAAACAUAACUACUAGUAGUUACAGGGUUCCAAAGUAGUUACAUUUGAUUAGGCUGAGAAGAAAAGGACUAUAGACAACCAGUUGUAUUUUACUGCGGCCCAGGGGUUCAAAGCAGCAGCAUAUUAUUAAUCUCCUGCUCAAACUCAAUUUCUCCUUUUCUUCUUCCUCUCUUCCCUCUCAGCUGAAUUCUUCAACUGAACAAAAAAGAAUAUUUUGUUAGUUUUGCUUACGCAUUGGAUAUAUUUAAUGUGUAGCAUUAAAAAAAUUGGAGAAAUUAGGAACCCACCAUAAUUAUGAGGAUUCGCACAAAGACGGCAACGAAGUCAGUGAAAAGAUUCAGAGCAUGCUUCACAUAGUCCAGAUCACCAAGGUGAGCCUUCUCAAUGAUGUCCUGGGUGUCAACCACCACAUAACCCACAAACACCAAAAGCCCAAAGUACAACUCAAACUUAAAGAUGGCCGCAGAUCCCCCAAAGAUAGAAGAUGCAAACUGCAACCAGAGAAGGAUGGACAAGCCAGAUGAAAGCAACCCACCAAGGUAAAGAUACUCUCUACGCCUCGCCAACGUAGCUGCUGCUGAGAAACAACCAAAAGCCACUGAAGUUCCCACAAAUGCAGUGAUCAAAAUGCUGUCACAAGCAUGAAGAUCAUGCAGAAAAUUAGCACAUUGUUUUCCAAUAUCAUGCCAAAAAGGAUUAGCAAGAAUGCUUUUACAACAACCAUAAUAAACACCAAAUUUAACCAGACAAAAUAUGUAAAAAGUGUAAUUCACGAGCACUUAGUGAUAAGGAACUUUGCAUACACUACCUCACAAGUCAGUUCUACCCACACCAUAAAAACCAAAAAAUUUAACUUCCAUUACUUGCACCAAACAGAAUAUCCAAUAACAGUUAUCUGAAAUUGUACUCAAACUUUACAUAUAUUAAGUAAUACAUAACAUGUAUGUACCUUGGAUCAAUUUCAAUGGCCAAAUCAACCAGAGGACCAACGGAAGCACCUUCAAAGAGUCCAGCUGCCAUCAACAGAGCUACCCGCUUUUGUUCUUCAUAAGGUGGCACGGAGAGUAGCCAAGCCAUGCUUCCCAAACAUGCAAACGUCGUCAGAAGACCACCAAUGUUCCACAGGAUAUGUAGGUAAGCCCCAGCUGCAGAUGCAACCAGUGCACAACAUAAGGUCAAAUAAACCUGCUUAAGAUGAGUCUGGACAACAGGAGAGAUCUGGCGGAAGUUCUUGAGGGAGUCGUAGGUCCAGCGAUUCCUUGAAGCCGAUUGGGAGUCGAAGAACGAUGCGAACGCUUCCAUUGGCAGGAAAGAAAGAGAACAAGAGGAGAUGCGCAAGAAGAUGUCGAAUCAAAAGAAACAAACAGAGAUUGGUGAAGGAGACUUUUUCUAUGCUUCUUU